rnacentral:tRNA from 1 species
AUUCUUUUAGUAUUACUUAGUACAAUUGACUUCCAAUCAAUUGGCUUCGGUAUAUCCGAAAAAGAAUA